rnacentral:rRNA from 1 species
AGAGUUUGCUCUUGGCUCAGGAUGAACGCUGGCGGCAUGCCUAAUACAUGCAAGUCGAACGAGAGACCUUCGGGUCUCUAGUGGCGAACGGGUGAGUAACGCGUAGGGAACCUGCCCGUGCACCGGGAAUACGCUCUGGAAACGGAGAACAAAUCCCGAUGUACAGGAAGGAGGCAUCUUCUUUCUGUGAAACAUCCUUUAGGGGAUGGGGCGCGGAUGGACCUGCGGUGCAUUAGUUGGUUGGCGGGGUAAAGGCCCACCAAGACGAUGAUGCAUAGCCGGCCUGAGAGGGCGGACGGCCACAUUGGGACUGAGACACGGCCCAGACUCCUGCGGGAGGCAGCAGUAGGGAAUUUUCGUCAAUGGGCGCAAGCCUGAACGAGCGAUGCCGCGUGAGUGAAGAAGGCCUUCGGGUCGUAAAGCUCUGUUGCGGGGGAAAAAAGGCAGCAUCAGGAAAUGGGUGCUGACUGAUGGUGCCCCGCCAGAAAGUCACGGCUAACUACGUGCCAGCAGCCGCGGUAAUACGUAGGUGGCGAGCGUUAUCUGGAAUGAUUGGGCGUAAAGGGUGCGCAGGCGGUCCUGCAAGUCUGGAGUGAAACGCAUGAGCUCAACUCAUGCAUGGCUUUGGAAACCGGAGGACUGGAGAGCAGGAGAGGGCGGUGGAACUCCAUGUGUAGCGGUAAAAUGCGUAGAUAUAUGGAGGAACACCAGUGGCGAAGGCGGUCUGCUGGACAGCAACUGACGCUGAGGCGCGAAAGCGUGGGGAGCAAACAGGAUUAGAUACCCUGGUAGUCCACGCUGUAAACGAUGGAUACUAGGUGUGGGGGGACUGACCCCCUCCGUGCCGCAGUUAACACAAUAAGUAUCCCACCUGGGGAGUACGAUCGCAAGGUUGAAACUCAAAGGAAUUGACGGGGGCCCGCACAAGCGGUGGAGUAUGUGGUUUAAUUCGAAGCAACGCGAAGAACCUUACCAGGGCUUGACAUCCCGGUGACCGCGCUAGAGAUAGCGUUUUCCCUUCGGGGACACUGGUGACAGGUGGUGCAUGGUUGUCGUCAGCUCGUGUCGUGAGAUGUUGGGUUAAGUCCCGCAACGAGCGCAACCCUUAUUGUUAGUUGCUACGCAAGAGCACUCUAGCGAGACUGCCGUUGUCAAAACGGAGGAAGGUGGGGACGACGUCAAAUCAUCAUGCCCCUUAUGUCCUGGGCCACACACGUACUACAAUGGUGGUCAACAGAGGGAAGCAAUACCGCGAGGUGGAGCAAAUCCCUAAAAGCCAUCCCAGUUCGGAUCGCAGGCUGCAACCCGCCUGCGUGAAGUUGGAAUCGCUAGUAAUCGCGGAUCAGCAUGCCGCGGUGAAUAC